GAAAGAACUCAGUCUCAGCUACUGUCACUAUCACCCAGAUUUCCAAUGAAGUGCAAGGAUUCUAAAGUGCAGUGAUUACAUGUUUAUCUUUAUAUUUACUGAGGUUUACUUCUUUACAUUUGUAGCAGCUGCCUUGGCUUGGUUUACAGUGGUUCAGAUUCUAAGGGAAGAGUUAAGAUUAGCUUGAGCCUUUAAAACCGGUUUCUGACAGCCAAUAUGUCGCACACAGUGGCUUAUGCAUAUAUCUGGGAUUGUUUGCAUGCUAGUGUAUUCGCUGACAGCAGCAAAUGCAUAUUUAUGCACAUUUUAAUAUCUGCAAUUGUAUUUAUUGUACAUCACAGCUUCUUGAGGCUCAUUUAGAUGGCCAUAAGGUGUUUGUUUACAAGUGCUGAUGAGGAACCAGAAAAAGGUAGCUGUAACUGACAAAAGGGAAAUAUUUAGCUUGUAGUUAGCAUGCACUGACUGUAUAAGAAUAUAUUGGUUACGAUAAAUGAAUUUUACUUAGCUAUAAUCAUCCUCUGAAGGUGUAACAGCAAUUGAUGAUUUAGAUUUGUUUAAGUAUAAAGGUCAGAACAAAACUCAGUUGUUCAUACUCAAGAUGUGAAAAUGUAGAACGUAAUCACACACCAUUUCUACACCUUGUAACAUAGUUGUACAAAAGUUCCGCCAUUUUUAUUAGAGCCGUAACUGUAAUGUGUCUUUUUCAUUGUUCUAUAUACUAUUGGGAAAUCUAUCACCAUGAAAGAAAUCAAAUACAAGUAGGCAUAAAAUUUACAG
rnacentral:lncRNA from 1 species